UUUGAAACAACGGUUCCCGUAGGAUCACCAAAGUUAAGCAACGUCGAGACUGGUUAGUACCUAGAUGAAUGACUACUUGGGAAAAUCAGGCGCUGUAAG